UUUAUACGAACGACAAAAAAUUUUUGUGGUCGUAUAUUGGUAUGACGUUGGCGUCGUCGUCGUCUUUCGAAGACACAUUAGUUUUCGCACUCUAACUUUAGUUUAAGUAAAUGGAUCUCUAUGAAAUUUUACCAUAAGGUUCAAUACCACAAAAGGAAGGUGGGGAUUGAUUUUGGGGGUUAUGGUACCAACAGUUAAGGAAUUAGGGGCCAAAAAUAAGCAUUUUUGUAACUUCCAGACAUAACUUGUGUGUAAGUGUAUGGAUCUCUCUGACAUUGUACCAUAAGGUUCCAUAUCACAAAGGGAAUGCUAGGAUUGAUUUUGGGGGUAAUUGCCUCCAAAUUUUAGGAAUUAGGGGCCAAAAAGGGGCAAAAAACAAGCAUUUUUCUAGUUUCAUGACAAUAACUUGUGUGUAAGUGUAUGGAUCUCUCUGACAUUGUAUCACAAGGUUCCAUAUCACAAAGGGAAUGCUGGGAUUGAUUUUGGGGGUAAUUGCCUCCAAAUUUUAGGAAUUAGGGGCAAAAAAGGGGCAAAAAACAAGCAUUUUUCUAGUUUCAUGACAAUAACUUGUGUGUAAGUGUAUGGAUCUUUAUGAAAUUGUACUACAAGGUUCCAUAUCACAAAGGGAAAGCUGGAAUUGAGUUUGGGGGUAAUUGCCCGAAACGUUUAGGAAUUGGGGGCCAAAAAGGGGCCAAAAAUAAGCAUUUUUCUAGUUUCCAGACAAUAACUUGUGUUCAAGUGUAUGGAUCUCUCUGAAAUUGUACUGCAAGGUACCAUACCACAAAGGGAAGGCUGGGAUUGAGUUUGGGGGUGAUGAAUCAUAAGGGGGUUCAAAAAAUUUGGGGGGGGGGGGGGGUUUUCUUUUUUUUUCUUUUUUUCCUUUUUUUUUUCUUUUAAAAUUUUCCAUUUUAAGUUGGUUAUUUCUGAUUAAUAUUUAAAAGCAAAUAAUAAUGAUAUGGUAGGAGAUACACACCAAACAGGAUGUGUAAAUUAUUAUAUAAUAAGUAUUGUGCAAUAGCAAGAAAUUUUCAAUUGCACAGUAUUGCACAAUUGCAAGAAAUCUCCAAUUGCACAGUAUUGCGCAAUAGCAAGAAAUCUUCAAUUGCACAGUAUUGCGCAUUAGCAAGAAAUAUCCAAUAGCACAAUAUUGCGCAAUAGCAAGAAAUUGUCAAUUGUACAGUAUUGCACAAUAGCAAGAAAUAUUCAAUUGCACAGUAUUGUGCAAAAGAAGAUACUUCGUAUAAAUUGCUUAUUUCUUGAUCAAUUUCAAUGGGGUUUUAUUCUUGAAUUCUUGGGGUUCUUUAAUAUGCUGAAUCUAACCGUGUAUUAAGUUUUUGGAUUUUGGGCCCCGUUUUUAAAUUGGUCCACAUUGAGGUCCAAAGGGUCCAAAAUUUAACUUUGUUUGAUUUCAUCAAAAAUUGAAUUAUUGGGGUUCUUUGAUAUGCCGAAUCUAACCGUGUAUUUAGAUUCUUAAUUUUUGGUUCCGUUUUCAAAUUGGUCUACAUUAAGGUCAAAAGGGUCCAAAAUUAAACUUAGUUUGAUUUUAACAAAAAUUGAAUUUUUAGGGUACUUUGAUAUGCUGAAUCUAAACAUGUAUUUAGAUUUUUGAUUAUGGGCCCAGUUUUCAAGUUGGUCCAAAUCGGGGUCCAAAAUUAAACUUUGUUUGAUUUCAACAAAAAUUGAAUAUAUGGGGUUUUUUGAUAUGCUGAAUCUAACCAUGUAUUUAGAUUUUUGAUUUUUGGGCCCCGUUAUCAACUUUGUCCACAUUGAGGUCAAAAGGGUCCAAAAUUAAACUUUGUUUGAUUUCAUCAAAAAUUGAAUUCUUGGGGUUCUUUGAUAUGCUGAAUCUAACCAUGUAUUUAGAUUUUUUAUUUGUGGACCCGCUAUCAAAUUGGUUCAUAUUGAGGUCAAAAGGGUCCAAAAUUAAACUUUGUUUGAUUUCAUCAAAAAUGAAUUAUUGGGGUUCUUUGAUGUGCCAAAUCUAACCGUGUAUUUAGAUUUUUAAUUUUGGGUCCCGUUUUUAAAUUGGUCUACAUUAAGGUCCAAAGGGUCCAAAAUUAAACUUAGUUUGAUUUUAACAAAGAUUGAAUUUUUGGGGUUCUUUGAUAUGCUGAAUCUAAACAUGUGUUUAGAUUUUUGAUUAUGGGCCCAGUUUUCAAGUUGGUCCAAGUUGGGGUCCAAAAUUAAACUUUGUUUGAUUUCAACAAAAAUUGAAUAUAUGGGGUUCUUUGAUAUGCUGAAUCUUACCAUGUAUUUAGAUUUUUUAUUUGUGGGCCCGCUAUCAAAUUGGUUCAUAUUGAGGUCAAAAGGGUCCAAAAUUAAACUUUGUUUGAUUUCAUCAAAAAUUGAAUUAUUGGGGUUCUUUGAUAUGCCAAAUCUAACCGUGUUUUUAGAUUUUUAAUUUUGGGUCCCGUUUUUUAAAUUGGUCUACAUUAAGGUCCAAAGGGUCCAAAAUUAAACUUAGUUUGAUUUUUAACAAAAAUUGAAUUCUUGGGGUACUUUGAUAUGCUGAAUCUAAACAUGUGUUUAGAUUUUUGAUUAUGGGACCAGUUUUCAAGUUUGUCCAAGUUGGGGUCCAAAAUUAAACUUUGUUUGAUUUCAACAAAAAUUGAAUAUAUGGGGUUCUUUGAUAUGCUGAAUCUAACCAUGUAUUUUGAUUUUGGACAUUGGACCAUAAUAGGUAAAUUAAAAAAAUUGAAGUUCUUAGACCACAUUCUUUCUGUGUCAGAAACCUAUGCUGUGUCAAAUAUUUAAUCACAAUCCAAAUUCAGAGCUGUAUCAAGCUUGAAUGUUGUGUCCAUACUUGCCCCAACUGUUCAGGGUUCGACCUCUGCGGUCGUAUCAAGCUGCGCCCAGCGAAGCAUUUUAUUAUUUACUUGAAGAAGUAAAUAUUAAUAUACUUAUAUAAGUAAAUUUGUAGGAUACUUAUACAAGUGUAUUUUAUUUACUUGUAUAGGUAAAUUAUUUUUUAGCUUAGUUAUGUCCCUUAGACAUUCAGAUUUUUUUACUUAUACAAGUAAAAAAUUCAUCCUAUCUUCUUUUGUUGAAUUCUUAGGACUUCUUUGCUCUAAUAGAAUUUUAAAUUGUCUGUCCUUUGCAGAUGUCUUAACUUAUCAUUUAAGUGUAAUUUCAUGGACAAUGAAAAUCUCAUUUGUCUGUUAUCUUCAGAACACUGCUCAUUUACAAGCCCCCAAGGAGCAAUUUUUUAAGGCCUUGCGCAAAUA